UACGUAGGGUGCAAGCGUUGUCCGGAAUUAUUGGGCGUAAAGAGCUCGUAGGCGGUUUGUCGCGUCGAAUGUGAAAACCCGGGGCUCAACCCCGGGCCUGCAUUCGAUACGGGCAGACUAGAGUUCGGUAGGGGAGUCUGGAAUUCCUGGUGUAGCGGUGAAAUGCGCAGAUAUCAGGAGGAACGCCGGUGGCGAAGGCGGGACUCUGGGCCGAUACUGACGCUGAGGAGCGAAAGCGUGGGGAGCAAACAGG
rnacentral:rRNA from 1 species